AGUGAACGCUGGCGGUAGGCCUAACACAUGCAAGUCGAAUGGCAGCACAGGAGAGCUUGCUCUCUGGGUGGCGAGUGGCGGACGGGUGAGGAAUACAUCGGAAUCUACGCUGUCGUGGGGGAUAACGUAGGGAAACUUACGCUAAUACCGCAUACGACCUACGGGUGAAAGCAGGGGACCUUCGGGCCUUGCGCGGUUGAAUGAGCCGAUGUCGGAUUAGCUAGUUGGCGGGGUAAAGGCCCACCAAGGCGACGAUCCGUAGCUGGUCUGAGAGGAUGAUCAGCCACACUGGAACUGAGACACGGUCCAGACUCCUACGGGAGGCAGCAGUGGGGAAUAUUGGACAAUGUGCGCAAGCCUGAUCCAGCCAUACCGCGUGGGUGAAGAAGGCCUUCGGGUUGUAAAGCCCUUUUGUUGGGAAAGAAAUCCAGCUGGCUAAUACCCGGUUGGGAUGACGGUACCCAAAGAAUAAGCACCGGCUAACUUCGUGCCAGCCGCCGCCGUAA
rnacentral:rRNA from 1 species